rnacentral:rRNA from 1 species
UACGGGGGGGGCAAGCGUUGUUCGGAAUUACUGGGCGUAAAGGGUUCGUAGGUGGCCCGCUAAGUCACACGUGAAAUCCCUCAGCUUAACUGGGGAACUGCGUGUGAGACUGGCAGGCUUGAGUGCAGGAGAGGAACGCGGAAUUCCAGGUGUAGCGGUGAAAUGCGUAGAUAUCUGGAGGAACACCGGUGGCGAAGGCGGCAUCCUGGACCGGUAUUGACGCUGAGGCGCGAAAGCUAGGGGAGCAAACGGG